UACGAAGGGGGCUAGCGUUGUUCGGAAUCACUGGGCGUAAAGCGCACGUAGGCGGAUGUGUCAGUCAGGGGUGAAAUCCCGGAGCUCAACUUCGGAACUGCCUCUGAUACAGCACGUCUUGAGUCCGGAAGAGGUGGGUGGAAUUCCUAGUGUAGAGGUGAAAUUCGUAGAUAUUAGGAAGAACACCAGUGGCGAAGGCGGCUCACUGGCCCGGUACUGACGCUGAGGCGCGAAAGCGUGGGGAGCAAACAGG
rnacentral:rRNA from 1 species